AAUAAAAAAAGUCCAAAAAUGGAACCCCCAAAUCCAAACCUACUCAAACCUAAAAACACUCCGGCCCCCAAAUCUGAUUAUACCGUCGAUUAGAAUGAGGGAUCCCUCAUUCUGCCCUAAUCUUGCCUCCGCCAGCCGCCGCGGUCGACCCUGCAUCAAGUGACACUACACUGCUCCCAUGCCCGGCGACGAAGACGGACAAAGCCCCUGCUCCGGCUUCCACUCCACCCACCGUCGCGCCGGCGUCUCUCUCUUGCGUUAGUUGCAGUUAAAUUGUAUUCGAAGCAAAGAGCUAGCAGUCACCGCUCGCCUCGCUGAAAGUAACUUCUUGCAUCGACAAAGGUAACUUCUAAAUUUAAUUGAAAUCUCGUUUGUUAACCCCAUAUCAUUGGAAUGUCGUUUGUUACACUUAUAAAUUUCUUUAAUUUUUUUUUCUCUAACAUUUAGAUUUGUAUGGAUUGAGCAGUCAUCUUCUAAGGAUACCACCAAGUCUCAUAUAUGAAAGUAGUCCAAUUAAUUACUAUUAUUGCUAUGACAUUGAUAUCAAUGAUAUUAGUUGUUCCAUUCUCUUGGAAAGGGAUUCUGCACUAGUGGUUCUGCACAAGUCCAGCAGCUAAUUCUGGUCAGUAUGUGAUUCGAUUUUAGGAGCUCCAAUUCUGGUAUUGUGCCUGCAGCUGAGGUGCAAGAGUUAAAUGUAGCUCGUUCCUUGACUCUGUAUGAGAGAGCAGUAGCUGUUGCCCUGGCUGUUUCACUUGAUAAUGACUACUUCUCUAGACACGGAGGCUGCCUCUUCAUGAUCACUGCAUCAAUUGAGGGGAGCACAUGACCAAGAGUAGACAAAUGCCAAGAAAGAUGGGGGAAGAAGAGCUUCCACCUACACUACAAUUGAAGGAUUCUGCAGCAGACCGAUCUUCAAAAUAGAAGCAAGGAAGGGAAUUCAACAGCAAGCCUUUAUCACCUCUAGUACUGAUGGUCGAUGGCAACGGACU